GUCUAUGGCCAUACCACCCUGAACGCACCCGAUCUCGUCUUAUCUCUGGAAGCUAAGUAGAGUCAGGCCUGGUUAGUACUUAACUGGGAGACCGCCUGGAAAUACCGGGUGCUGUAGGCU
ensembl:rRNA 5S_rRNA 5S ribosomal RNA